UGACCAUUCCCACCCCUCCCAAAUCAAAGGGAAAAAUAUCUGAACGUUGAUUUGAAAAUGGUUCAAAACCUUUCACCUCCAGAAGCCUUCCUUAAUCACUUCUCUCUGUCCCUUCAGCAUUUAUAUUCAGUGCUCAAUUUAUACUACAGGUCUACUUCAGUUUGUCAAUAUGGUCUGGAAUUUAAACUAUGGAAAUGAUCAUUUAAAAUAUUGACGGUCUGUGGUGGGACUAAAUAAAACUUGCAGGUAGGUUCCUGCCAAGGACCCCAGAAGGGUGAUGG
rnacentral:lncRNA from 1 species